GUCAUACCAGUGAAGGAAUGAAAAGAAGUAUUAUACCAUAAUUCUGCUUAAAUCAAAAAAAUUGUCCAAGUACGUGGAUGUUGAUGCUUAAAGGCUCUUAAGUAAUGUUCCAAACACCUGUUCAUUACUUCAGUCUGACCAUCAAUUUAAGGAUGAUAUGUAAAAUUGUAUUUCAAAGUUGUGCCACUCAACUGAAAUAGUGUUUGCUAAAACUUACUGAGAAAAAUUGAUCAUUGGCUACUGUGGUCGUUUGUUACAAUUUAGAUAAAGCACAUCUAUGAUCUUCAUACAAGGAAGGACCAAACCUGAGAUUAAUAGCUUUUAAGAACCCUUUCCAAGAUUCAUUGAAACCAUUGGAAUGCAUCCAUUUUAGCCAAGAGCAGGCCCUUCCAAAUGAAAAGAAGAGAUCAUGACCCUUUAAUUUUCAGGAGUAUUGUAAAAUUGAAAAUUUGCUCCAUCUUGAAUAUCCAACUGGAUACAUAUAUUCCAUCAAAGUGAGGUACUUCAAUUUUCAUGGAUUGAAAUUGAUAAUUUUUGUGGUUGUGGUUGCUGAAAGUAGACAUAUUGGUGGGAUUAUCUUCAGGAGUAUGCUGUGGAUGAUUGGAUACAUCUAUGAUUCUCUAAUCAACAGCAUGCAUGAAUCUUGCAAUAGGAUUGUUAGAUCACAAAUUUGAACUUCAGUUUCCUUCCUAAACUCAUUUAGAUUCUUGAUAGCCUCAUCUGUCUUUGAAAAUCUAAUACCUUCAGCCAUUAUAGAAGGAAUGGAAUGAAAGCACCAAUAUUAUGUUCAAGGUUCUCUGUGAGAGAACUUGCAAAUGAAAAUGAACAGAAAAUGAUGGAAAUCUCUAUUCGAACUAGAGAAUUGGCUCCUAAAAGAAGAUACAACUAAUUUUUCAUAUCCUUGUUUAGUUUACAAUAAUGUUUAUAUACAUUCUAUUAAGAAUCCUCCCUGCAUAACUUUUGGAACAGAUAUCUAACUACUAACUGCCUCUUUAACAAACUAACUAUUACUUAACAACUAGUUGUUAUUUAACAGAUUUAACUACUUGCUAACAACCCUUUGACCUUGUUUUCAUUUGUCUCUAUAUUAUAUACUACUUCAUUCAGCUUGGUCUUUUUCUAAUUAUCUUCAUACUGUCAUUACCUGCUCUGCUAGCUCUAUUUAUAUUGUUAGCCUCAAUUCAACACUUAGUGGAGGGGUUUUCGAAUGAAGCAACAUUAUGUGGGAAGAUUUAAAAAUUCAACAAUUUGUCCAAGAUGUUCACUCGAAGGAGAAGAGAUGAAAGAUUAUAUGAAAAAAAAUCAGUCAGACAAGAAUAAAUGCACAUGAUAAAAUUUUGAUGAUGAUGGACCAUGAUUAUCGGAAGAUGAAGAAGUAUAUUGUGGGACUGAUUGCGUGAAAAAAUUAUUCGAGAGCAGCCAAUCUUUUAUUUCUUUUCAGCCAAAACAUAAAAAAAACCAAAAACCUAAAGGUCUCAUAGACCACAUUCUUCAUACCUAAUCCUGAUGUUUGUUGGUACCAAAUCGAGAAAAAAAAUAGACUAAAAUCCAAUGCAAUUCUCAUACAAGUAGACUUAUAUAGCUUUCGAUCAAGGAAGGCGCACGCCUCGCUUGCCGCCUCCACCUGAGGCUCUGCAGACUUUUAUAUCUCGGUGCGCCUCGCGCCUCUAACUAUUGAAAAAAUUAUUCGGCAAACACAGAAUUCCAAAGAAAAAUUUCAUUGAUCACAAUAAUAUACAGUAAAUAGAAUUUACAAAAAAUAAAUACAGAAAUUAAAUUAAAAGAAAUACAAGCAGAUUUAGGCCAAGUCCUACAAACGCAAUCUCCUUAAGAAAGAUUCACCGCCUACCGAGGGUGUUGUAGGCUAUUGUCAACGUCUUUCUUCCAGAAUAAAACGGCUAGAACUACUAAUUUUAGAACACCUCCGAAGCAGCCUUGGCUGAGUUGGUAUAAAACUAUAAUUUUUCUAAAAAUCUGAAUAUAACUGUAAUUAUCCAAAAUUAGGGAUAAAACUGUAAUUUUUAGAAUCUAGGUUAAAACUAUAGUUUCCAGAAGCUGGUUAAAAUUUGUAAUUUUCCCUAAAAACUGGGUAAAAUUUAUAAUUACAGUAAAAAUUGUGGUCAAUCUGUAAUUACUAAAAUUCUUGAGUUAAUUUAGCAAUUAUAAAACUAUUUUGGGUUAAAACUAUAAUAACUGAAGGUGAAAAAAUUAAUCUUCUGGAAAGCGAAACAAAAUAGUAUUUUUUUUUUCUUCAAACUAAAAUCUUUUUUUUUUUCUCUCUCUGUAACAGAAAAUCAUAAAGCAUAAAAUUAUAAUUGUUUUUUUUUCGAUUAUUAGAUUACAGAAUAUAAGUUUACUCAGAAAUUGUUUCAAGUGAAUAAAUCUGAAGCAUAAUUAUUUCAGAACAGUUUUAAAGCAAUUUUAAAACAACUGUUCUAAAAAUCUUAUCACAAAUCUGUUAUCUUGGUUGUAUAUUACAACCCUGUUUCUUUCUUGAAAU
rnacentral:lncRNA from 1 species